UCUAUGAUAGCAAUGGUGUUUCGUUUCUGGUGACUGAGUUAAUCCUUUACAAUCCCUCUUGUAAAGUGUGCUAAUAGAAAGAAUCCACCUUUCAAAGCUGCAGAACCAGACCGUGCCCUAAAUUGACCAACGUAACUGAUGUGCCUCGGGAAGUCUCUUGCCAGCUGUCCCUGUGAAGACCCCCCUCCUCCCCCCCAGCUGCUGCCUUGCACACUGAAGCAUCUCAGACUGCAAAGCCAUGUAGUCAUCAAGUCAGUAAAUCCCAGGGCUUGGUUAAGUGCUGUGUGAUAACUUGUUUGGAUGAGACUUAACUUAAAACCACUUACAAUAAAAUUGGGAAACUACCGUCAAAAAAAAAAAAAUAGCGUUAGUAGUUUCUAUCAGCAUUUUACCCCUGGCUGUUGUAGAAA
rnacentral:lncRNA from 1 species